ACGAACGCUGGCGGCAUGCCUAACACAUGCAAGUCGAACGAGACCUUCGGGUCUAGUGGCGCACGGGUGCGUAACGCGUGGGAACCUGCCCUCAGGUUCGGAAUAACUCCCCGAAAGGGGUGCUAAUACCGGAUAAUGUCUUCGGACCAAAGAUUUAUCGCCUUUGGAUGGGCCCGCGUUGGAUUAGCUAGUUGGUAGGGUAAAAGCCUACCAAGGCGACGAUCCAUAGCUGGUCUGAGAGGAUGAUCAGCCACACUGGGACUGAGACACGGCCCAGACUCCUACGGGAGGCAGCAGUGGGGAAUAUUGGACAAUGGGCGAAAGCCUGAUCCAGCAAUGCCGCGUGAGUGAUGAAGGCCUUAGGGUUGUAAAGCUCUUUUACCCGGGAUGAUAAUGACAGUACCGGGAGAAUAAGCUCCGGCUAACUCCGUG
rnacentral:rRNA from 1 species